rnacentral:rRNA from 1 species
UACAGAGGGUGCAAGCGUUAUUCGGAAUUAUUGGGCAUAAAGCGCAUGUAGGUGGCUUAGUUAGUCUGAUGUGAAAGCCCCGGACUCAAUUCGGGAAGUGCAUUGGAUACUGCUAGGCUGGAGUAUGGGAGAGGUGAGCGGAAUUCCAGGUGUAGAGGUGAAAUUCGUAGAUAUCUGGAGGAACAACAGUGGCGAAGGCGGCUCACUGGACCAUUACUGACACUGAGAUGCGAAAGCGUGGGGAGCAAACAGG